UACAGGGGGGGGCAAGCGUUGUUCGGGAAUUACUGGGCGUAAAAGGGCUCGUAGGCGCCAACUAAGUCACACGUGAAAUCCCCAGGCUUAACCUGGGAACUGCGUGUGAUACUGGAUGGCUUGAAUCCGGGAGAGGGAUGCAGAAUUCCAGGUGUAGCGGUGAAAUGCGUAGAUAUCUGGAGGAAUACCGGUGGCGAAGGCGGCAUCCUGGACCAAUCUGACGCUGAGGCGCGAAA
rnacentral:rRNA from 1 species